GUGAGUCAUCGAAUCUUUGAACGCAUAUUGCGCUCGAGACUUCGGUCAAGAGCAUGUCUGGCUCAGCGUCGGCUCACCCCCUCGUCAACCACUCUCCUUAGGGAAGUGGACAGACGGAUCUGGCCGUCUCUGUGCUCUUACAGAGAACAGGGUCGGCUGAAGAACAGAGGCUUGAGCAUGGUCCCGCUGAAAGGGCACCAGCUUGGUAGGUAGCUCACGCUGCAUGCCGCUGUCACCCCCAGGGACCUGUGCUGUAAAGCCGGCAGGAAUCGGAGGCUCAUGCCCCGAACUCUUCAUUCG
rnacentral:misc_RNA from 1 species